GAGGCGGCGCCGGAGAAGCAAUCGCCGUCGCUCGACGAUUGCCUCAAGCUGUUGAGAGGCGAGAGAGACGAGCAGCGCCUGGCCGGCCUGCUCUUGGUGACCAAGUUCUGCAAAGGGGACGACCUCGCUUCGCUGCGCAGGGUUUACGACGCCGUCGGGGCGCAAUUCCUCGACCGCCUCCUCAGAACCGGUAAUUUUGGGUGACGCCUUGGUUGUUUUUCGGUUCUGUCGUUAGUGGGAGUCGCGCAGCCAUGACUUGGCUAAAAGAAUUACCUUUCCGAUUGGCUAUUUGACCUGCGAGAUGGCAUGUUCAAGUGAAUAUCAGCAUUCUGGGAAUGGUAGGCAGUGCUUCGAGGAACACGCGAGUUCCGAGCGACAUGAAUUAACUUGUGUCAGCAUAUAAGUCUAAUAACAUGUUACCGGCGAUAAUGACGUAGUAGAUUUAACUGUGCAGAAAAGAUUUUUCUACACUACGAUCCCUAUAUGAUGACAGAAGCGGUUUGAAUAUGUGAAGGUUGUUAAUUUUUAUUGUGACUUGCUUCUUUGGCAAGCAAUGAAGAGAUGCUAUAAGCUCUCAUGGUUUGUUAUAUGGCAAAGAGAAUCCUUUAUGAGUAGCAAGUCCCCAAGCUUGCUGACAGUGAUGAGAAAUGAAUACGUGACUCUUGCGCUUAAGUGAUUGUGUGGCUCUUUGGGGUGGGGAUUUGCUGAAAAAAAAUUGAAUGGACUAUCAGUUUGCAUUGGUGGAGCUCUUUCUCCCUAUUGAAGCAUCAGUAAGAGAGGAAUGGCAUGGUGAAAUUGAUAGUAACUGUAUAGGCAUCAGUUUCGGUAAUUUGAACCUCACCUAUUGCAAGGCAUUUCUGUUUCAGUUGGCUACAUGAAGCUCUUGUCUUUGAGUACCUCUGACAGUUCUGUUGAUGGAACCAUUGUGGCUGAUGGAGUUUCUAUAGUCUAAGUGCCGAAAGAUCUCCUUAAGCUUUCAGUUUAGUUAUAUGCCCCUUGAAUUAUAGCGUUGAAUGUGGUCCGGUCUUGUAAAAACCUCUUCAAUUGGAUUGUCAUGGCUGCUUCUGAGGAUAUUGAAGCACCUUUCUCAAGUGAGUCUAAUGACAGUUGGUGUCUGCACUGUAAUACUUUAUUAAUGUAAGUCAAUGCAAAGUUCAAUUGGAAUCAAGCAAAAAUCUCAUAUUAUGGUCUUUUAAAGUCAUGCCUAGAAGUACAGGCUUCUAAAGUGACUUAAUGAGUGGGUAGCAGAGCAGUAAAAAGUAAACAAAUUGCAGGCUUUUACAGCAUGUACUUCUGAGUCUUUUGCUGAUUUUCGAUGGUACAUUGUAGCAACUUAAGAAGCCAGUACUGAUGAGUUUGAAAGCUCAUACUUCUAUAUGUGACUUCUCAAGGCAGAGAUUUAGCUUGUCAUUCAAUUUGGAAUCUUGGAGCUUUAGAUAUAACAUUGUUGAAUUAUAUUUGACAUGUGUAGAACUUUUCGUGGUAAUUUAUUAUGAUAUUAUGUUUACUUGGUAUAUGAAAGGACCACCAAUAUCUCAAUUCUGACCAGAUGUAAUAAGUAUUAGCAAUCCUGGACCGUAUGUUUUGUGCAGACCUUAACUCACUUUCAUAUGCUGAAUACUAAGUAGUUUGAUUUCAUUAAGUAGGGCAUACCAAAAUCAUAUCAAUUGGAAAUUCUUUCAUGGUUGAACUUUCUUUCUUGGCCUUGAUAUUCUCACAAUAUUUGUCUCCUCAUUUGGUAUUCUCAUAAUUUCUCCUAUCUGGGAAGGAAUGGGACAAGGAUCUACUGAAGGCAGUGACAAUCGCGAUGCAUACUUGCAGCUUUCGGUAACAGUUUUGGCUGCAUUCUGCCGUGUUACUGAGAUUGCUGCUUCUAAUGAAAUGGUUUCAAAAAUUCCUCUCAUACUUGAGAUUCUGCCAAACAAGUAAGGUUCUCUUUCUUAACUUAACAAUUAUACAUUUUAAGAAUUUUAAGUAGAGAAGUUAGUGGACUCCUCAUAAUAAUUUGCUCUUGAUUUAUAUGAUAAUUGUGAAUAAUAGUUAUCUUUGGUAUUACCUUGGAAAUGUAUUAAGAGCUGCUCGUUAAUGUAGUCACCACGAUUGUGUGUUAGGUCUUUGCAGAGCCAAAAAAAAACAAGAAUCUAACAGAGGUAGCUACUUAGCUAGCUACCGUUUCUGGGUGAAACUUACAGUGAUUGAUCCUGACAUUUUUCUUUCGGUUGUGCUUUUAGUGCUUUAUUGAUUUUUAAUAUAUCAAAUACAGAUCUGGUUCACCUGUACUUGAAGAAUGUUAUGAAUUUUUAUAUCUAGUGCUCUCUGCAAAUGAAGAUGGAGUUGUUUCUUUCUUUGAAUCUGGAGGCUUGAAGGUGCUAGCCCCUCAAAUGUCUACAUUUGCAGAUGGUAAAUAUUCUCACCUUGACUGGAUUUUUCUGACAAGUAGUUAAGAAUAGCUACGACUAUCAAUUUUUGUGGUCAUAUUGUGUUUCCAGUGGGGACUUUUGUAUUCACCAGUGAAAUUAUUUUGCCUUUUGUGGAUUUUUCUGUGAUUGACACCAUUUGAGUAUAUUUCUACAAUAUUUUAUCCGAUAUUUUCUGGACAAAAUAUGUUAUAUGUUUACUUAUGGAUUGGGAAUGGAUCUUCUGUCAGAGAUUAAUUUAACCCAAAUUCUUGGCAGGUUCUCGUGCAAUGGAGCUAGCCAUGAAACUUGUGCAAUUGUCGCUGGGAAAGCUGUCUCUGGGCUUUAUUAGCAAUGCUUAUCUUGAGGACCUUUCAAUAAUUGUGAGUUUUGAUUUGUAUUGAGUCCUUUUUUAUUGAGUUUGUCAAUCUAUAUGAUUCUGCUCUUGGAGAUCAGUAAUAGAGUAAUCUCUUCUGAAAGCAGGUUGCUGCCAUAGCGAGGCAAUUUGCUGUCCUCCACAAUGCAUUAAAAUUUGAAGCGCUGCAUAUACUAUCAGCUAUCUUCUCUUCAGAACUUUCGGUUUGUAUUUUCCUCUUAAAAUGUGUCGUUUUUACCUUGCCUGGAAACAAUAAUUCCUUUGUGUGCUUCUGUGUCCAUUAUAUGUUUUCAUUAUGGGAGUAACUGUUUGUGUUGAAUUAAUGAUGGAUGGACCAUGCCCUGUUUAUUAUUUUGAUGUGGGAAUUGGAUGCAGAAUGUGGUGCUUAGUUUGACAGUAUUAGAUUUGGAUAAAUGCACAAGAAGUUCUGAAACUUGUGUCUGAAAUGCAAUUCAGUUCUACAACUUUUCAAAUAGCCAAUCAAAUCCUUAAUUUUGAAAAGAAAAUUAAAUUUAAGAAAUUGAGUCCUUUCAUUACUUCUGUUAGUUAAAUAUGAGGAGAUCCUGGUGGCACUUGAAUGAAAAUUCUUUUCCAACCUCUAGUUGGACAAAAAGAUCCAUUUCUUCGGGAAAUGGAUAUCUUAUUGGUCAAAUGUAAUAAAAAUUUCAAGCUUUGUUUGUAGUUAAACAUGCUUCAUCAAGACUANNNNNNNNNNNNNNNNNNNNNNNNNNNNNNNNNNNNNNNNNNNNNNNNNNNNNNNNNNNNNNNNNNNNNNNNNNNNNNNNNNNNNNNNNNNNNNNNNNNNGAAGUAAACUUCACUUCCAUCGAUCUAAUAUGAUAUCGACAGACCCUAAAUAUCUAGUAUGAUAAUACUCUAAUGAAAUAAGAUAUCUUUUCGUACAAAAGUAUGCUUUCCCAAAUGCACAAAGAGAGUCAAUUUUCAAAUAAUAUCAACAAUAGCAUAAUAAUUAAGAGAUCUCAACUCAUUUCUCAUGUCAAACAUUGUAGUCACUUUUUGCUGGUGACAAAACUGGAAAUCGCAUCAAUCACGGUUAAGCCAAAAAAAAUUAAAUUGAUGGCGCAAGCGCAAAACGGCAGUGGUCUAUGCACACAUUAAUUAUUCGUAGCGUGUUAUUAUUAUGUUGGUCAAUCAUGAACAUAAAUCCAGAAACAUUCAACAACUCAAAUAAUUAAGUUUUUGACAAUAAUUUAUAUCCUUUGAGAAACAUUCCCAUGAUUAAUAAUGUUUUAUUUACCAUAAGAAAAUAUCAUGGAAAAAUUCAUUUGAGUAUAAGGCGAAAUUUUCAUUAUAUAAAUAACUUCCGCACCAUUAAGAGGAUUCUUUCGCUUGGAUAAUUGCUGGGAAGAUUUCAUGAAAACAAUUAAUUACUUUCAAAUUGUCUGUGGUUAUUGUGGUAGUACCAUCAAUAUAUAACCUCCGCCACACCAUGCUCUCUCUAUAUAAAUUAUACAAAGUGUGUAAUAUUGGAGAAAUUUAAUGUGAUGGUUACUCUGAAUAUAAUAUUCAAAGACAUAUCACAUACUAGCAAAAAUGUACAGGCAUUUCGUGUAUGUAAGAAAGAGACAUUUAAUAUUUUUUGCUAAAAAAAGCCUAUAUGAAAAUAUUUGAUAUAACAAAUUGAUAGAAAUACAAUAGGAAAUAUUUCAAAUAAAUACUUGAAAUGAGAUGGUUCUCUCUUGAGAGCAAAUUCCACUCACGUGUUCCUUCAAGACUUGGAAGGCAUUUUUGUGCAUGGACUUUCUUUUUUUGGGUUUUUUUUCUUCUUUUUCUUCUCUCUCCUCUUCUUUUUCCCACAACAUAGGUGAGUAGAGUUCCGAGAUAAAAUCGAGAACCGGAUAGGUGGGAACUGAUCCAAUUUUAGUUUGGGUAUGUAUGAUAAGUUUCAAAUUCAAAAAAAAUUAAAGAAUUGGUUCCAAUGGAUAGCUUUCGGAUUCUUAUAAUCCGGAAUCUAGAAUAAGUUUUUAUCUUUUUGCGAUAUUUCAUGGAAUUCAAUGAUAAAUAUGUAACUUGGACCUACCAUUCUGAGUUUUCAUUUUCGGCGAUAUACAUAACUAAGACUUUUGCUUUGUUAAAUAUGAAUUGUGGUCAUGGAUUGUUGUAGCAAAUGGUGAUUAUUAGAGAUAACGAUACACUGCAAUCAAUGGUACCGGGUCCAUGCCCUUGUCCUUGAUGCCCGAAUUCCCUCGCUGCCCUUGUGAUCUUCGUCCCCGCGUCAUCUUCAUUGAUCUUGUGAGUGCUGAGUAAAGCUAUCUAUCUCCUUAGAGCAAGCAUUGCAGACCGGACACGCAAGCACUCGGUGCUUCUCGACGUGAGCCGUGAGUCGGCCCAUGACGCAACAGAAGCCAUGAAAAUGGCGACCCCUUGCCCUGUACUCACACCCUGCGAGAUUCCACAUCUGGCCUACAAUCAGAGUGACAAAAAGGCAACUGAAACCAAAAUUAGAAAAGAGAUAAUUAUACAAAUAGUUUUCAAACCUUGGUCAAUUUACAGUGUCGCUUUUUAAUUUUUUAAUUUAUUAAAUAUGAUUUUAAAAUUUGACUUAAUGUGUAAUGUCGUUCCUAACAUUUUUAAUUUAUUUGAUACGAUUCCUAAAUUUGCAGUAUAUAAUAUAAUUCCUAUACUAUGUGAAAAUAUUUAAUAUUAUCUUUUAAUUGAUUCAAGUUUAGAGACAAUAUUGAAUAUUUUUACAAGUUCAAAUAUUAAACUAAACAUAAACUAAAAGUUCAAAAAUCACAUUGAACAUAUUAAAAAUUCAAGAAUGAUAUUGUACAUUAUGCUAAAGUUUAGAGGUUAUUUUUGUUAUUUUUCCUUUGAAAAACAUUACAUCGCAAGAAUGGGUGCAAUAAUGAGAGGAUUGCUUACUCCAGAAAAAAGAUUUUCACUUGUCUCAAUGUAAGAUACAAAAUAUUGAAAAAUUAAAAUUAGAAUAGGUGAGAGAAAAAGCAGAAUUAUUAUAUUUUAUUUAGGGACAUAAUCUGUAAGGUAAACAAUUAAGAUUAUAUGAGAAAGAAAAAGGGAUUGAGACUAUAAAAAAAAGGUGGGAGAUUCUCUUACUUUAGAUAAGAAAAAUGUAUAUUUUUUUAUUAAAAUUUUAAAAAAUUACUUCACUUAUUAAUGACAGUUAAUAAGAUUGCAGAAAAUUCCAUGCACGUGAAAAAUUGACAGUUAAAAGGUUUUGUAAGAUUGUCGAUUGAUUGUAAGAUAUUAUUGAUAGUGUACGAAUGAUACUUUACAAAUACACGUGAAAAGAGAAAAGAUGUUUUCUCAAUUGAAUUUUUUAGUAGGGUUUUGUUGUGAUAUGAAAAACAGUCGAAUCUUAAAAUUAAGGUAUGUGCAAAAUAAGAUUGGAUUAUUAAUUUAUAUAUUAAUAAUCCAAUUCAUCGAAUAUGAUUUCAUUUCCUCACCGCGCGGUGUAGUUUAGACUGCUCUCGAAGCGUCUCUGCUCUCUACUCAACCGGUGGGAAGCGGAAGCGGAAGCGGAAGCAAGCCAGGAAAUCGAAAUAUCCGCCGAGCAAAUUCGCCAAAUUCUCCCUCCCGACGUUUUCAUCGUGCGUCCGGAGCUCGACCCUCGAUUCCUUCUGUUCAGAUGGUGAGCAGCGCCAGCUUCUUUGUGGCAUUUCAUCGAACGGUCAAGUUGCGGUCUUGGUGCAUGGCCAGAAAGUGAGGGAAGUUAACGUUUUGAUGCUGAUGCUAUACUGCGAUUUUGCAGGAGGCGGCGCCGGAGAAGCAAUCGCCGUCGCUCGACGAUUGCCUCAAGCUGUUGAGAGGAGAGAGAGACGAGCAGCGCCUGGCCGGCCUGCUCUUGGUGACCAAGUUCUGCAAAGGGGACGACCUCGCUUCGCUGCGCAGGGUUUACGACGCCGUCGGGGCGCAAUUCCUCGACCGCCUCCUCAGAACCGGUAAUUUUGGGUGACGCCUUCGUUGUUUUUCGGUUCUGUCGUUAGUGGGAGUCGCGCAGUCAUGAUUUGGCUAAAGGAAUUGCCUUUCCGAUUGGCUAUUUGACCUGCGAGAUGGCGUGUUCAAGUGAAUAUCAGCAUUUUGGGAAUGGUAGGCAGUGCUUCGAGUAACGCGCGAGUUCCGGGUGACAUGA
rnacentral:lncRNA from 1 species